CGGGAGGGGAGUGAAAUAGAACCUGAAACCCUGCACUUACAAGCUGUGGAAGCACAUUUCUUGUGUGACCGCGUACUUUUUGUAGAACGGGCCAACGAGUUACGUUAAGUAGCAAGGUUAAGCACUUAAGGUGCGGAGCCGUAGCGAAAGCGAGUUUUAACUGAGCGUUCAGUUAUUUGACGUAGACCCGAAACCGGGCGACCUACCCAUGAGCAGGAUGAAGCGAAAGUAAAAUUUCGUGGAGGUCCGAACCCACGAGCGUUGAAAAGCUCGGGGAUGACUUGUGGGUAGCGGUGAAAUUCCAAUCGAGCCCGGAGAUAGCUGGUUCUCCCCGAAAUAGCUUUAG
rnacentral:rRNA from 1 species